CCCCAAUCCCCGCCCCUCUUCCUCUCAUCCAAUCCGCCGCCUUCCUCCUUCUCGCGCGCGCUGACUGAUGGCAGCAACUGGAGGGAGGGAGAGGUCGAGUAGGAGAGUGGAGGCGGGCGGCGGCGCGAAGAGUGGUGGAGGCGAGCCGCUUGAGAAGCUCGUCCACAUGCAGCGCGGACGCGGGCGCCGCCAGUCGUGUGCGUCACCAUGCCAAUAGCAGGAGAGCGGAGGCGGGCGGCGAUGCGGAGAGCGGCGGCGGCAAGCCGCGUGGAUAAGCUCGUCCACAUCCGGCGGGACUCGAGAUCUCGGGUCAACGGCGCCUCCACCGCCUCGUCCUCCCCUGCCUCUGCACCUGACGAGGAUGGCCCAGCCAGGCUGUUUGGGCGAGGAGGCAACAGCUCGGGAGGCAACGAGAGGAAUGCUUCAAUUCACCUCGAUCCGGCGACGCUAGAUCCACCCAGCCUGCGGCUCAACCUGUAGGAUUCGGUCCACAGCAAUGUCGUCCUCUCCUCCGGAAGGCCAGGCGCAGGAGGUGGCUGAGCGGGAGGGCUCCCAGCCGAGGAAGACCAAGCGACGGCGGGCGACUGGCCCAAAGAUGGCCUGGGGGCGCUCGACCCUCCGGUGUCCUUUCCCGCAACCCAGGCAGCGCGUAGGAUGCUCACAUACGUUCACUGUCGUCAUUCCCUAUCUUGAGAUCCAGAUGUAAUCCAUAUUGUUGUGGUCAUCCUCCGGCUCCAGAGCGAUGCAAGUAUUUCCAUAUGCCAAUUUCUCUUUUCUGCCUCUGAGAGCUGUGUAGUCUGCUCGGGUUACUUACCUGCAGUAUGCAUGGCAGUUGCAGCAGCUUGCCAAUUAGUAACCCACCAAAGUUUAAUUAUUUCUUCAAGCAAGUGGAUGGUUGUUUCUGCUACUGCACCUUUUCAUAUGGUUCAAAUUGUCUGCGGCAUAUUGGCCUUCUCAGGAGUUGUAGUUUUGCAUUUCCUCGCCACUCUAUAUAGCUAUUAUCACAAGAAAGUAUGCAAAAAAAAAGCAUUCCUGCUGUCAGAGCUUGCACGAAAGCGAGGACACAAAUGCAGUUCUUCUGUAAGAUGCUCAUUGCGAGUGAUGCAAGCACACAUGGAGGCUCCUCUGUGCCUUACCGUGCCACGGAGAAGAUAUCCCUGCCCUGGACACAAAUGAAAUUCUUCUGUAAGAUGCGCACUGUGAGUGACACAAGCACAAAUGGAGGCUCCUCCAUUAAGCCGCAUGAGGUUUCCAUGUCUUUUACACAAUAUAAAACUCAUUUACAGUAUCAUUUUAAUUUCGUUACUCUGUACUUCAGUACUUUCCUUUGCAGCCUCCGUGUCACGAGCACUCUUUUAAUGUAAAUAUAUGUGCAGCUCUAAAUAUACAUCACACAUGUUAAAUGGCAUUUUCAUCUUAAUAUGUGUAUUCUACGGAGUAACUGUUUUCUUUCAGUUUGUCUACUCAUCAGGUUUAAAUAGUUGGUGAGUAGUCCUAUAGAUCUUGAAUGCAUGGUUGAAACUAUUUUGCUGAGUAGCUUAUGUACCACAAUAGUUGGAAAUAGACUGCUUAGUAGUAGUCCUGUGAUUUGGUUGCUAAUUUUCUUUUCUUAUUCUUGUACAUGAAGUAGUUCAAAAACCUAUUGGUCGGUUGCCAGUUGGCGAGAAAGAGGCCCAUGGAUUCCCUUAGACGAACAUAUAUUAGAUGGCUAUCAUUAUACAAUACACCUUGAGUGCCUUCAUAACUGUCCAGAAGCUUCCUGUGCUGCUGCUGGUUUCUGUUUCUUGCCUGCUCGCCCACUACAGUGCAGAUGCUGCAGGCCUUGGAAGAUUUGGAUGGAGCACAAGUCGGGAUGCUCCUGUUCAUCUUUGGUGAGUGUGCCAGUCUGCAGCAUCCUUGGUAAUCUUAAAUUCACACGGGAGCUGAGAAGUACACUGUGUGGCGUCCUGAGCUUGUGAUGCAACCAUCUAAGCUGGGCACUUUCCGGCUUGCUCAUGGACGGCAGUCACAGGCUUGCUCGUGAUGUCCUUCUUAAAUUUUUAAGUAUAUCAGAUUGCUUCCCUGAAUGUUGAUGUAUUUUAUCAUGCCAUUGGUAUUAAUGAGUCUUCUUGGUGAGGAGAUUAUACAGUGAUAUGAAUUUAAGAUACUCCAGAUUUUCUCUUUUGCUAACUUAGUUUUUAAAGUGUUGACUGCUUGCUGUCCAUUCAUGUUCCAUUAUGAGUGAGGUUAUUACAAAUAGAUGGGAAAAUGGCUAUUUUUGUAAUUAUAAAAUAUGGAAAGAAAAUAUGCGGUCAACCUAGGUUGUAUUAACAUAUAUAUAUAUUCUAAAAUACAACUCUAUUUUUUUUCUAGAGGAAGGUCAUUCUUGGACAUGACCAGACAACCUCUUAUGUUGAAUAACCCUGAACCUAUCCAGAAAAUUCCAUCUGGUCACCACUACAAUGCUUUGUCUUGUACCAAGCAGGAUUCGUUUUUGUACAUCAUGUAUGCUUUCUAUGACGUGUUUCCUACUUAUGUAAUUACGUUAUAUGAUGCAUGACAUGGUGAUCCCCAUCAGUGACGUGCAAAUCUAUCUGUACGCAGUUCAGAGCAGAGACACAUCAUCCUGCUGCUCAAGGGCUCAUCUAAUUAGAUGCUUUUACAUCUGCUAUGAAUUUUGAAUUAAUAGGCAGAGUGAAUUUCGAUUUUUUAUUAGAAACUCUGAUUUCCAAAUAUAGAUGUUUUUCUGCAUCUUCUUCACCAGGUUUAAAUGAAUUUAUGGAUCUUGUGUAAUCAUCUCACUGAAAUGAGGGAAUAUGAAAGGUGUGUGUGAUCAGUAGACUUCUCACUUGCAGAUCCAGCCAAAUUGGUUAGGGGGAGUGCUGAUGGUUCAGGUAAUUCUAUUCUUACACUUUUUGUGUAUCAGCUUUUGAAUUGCGAUAAUGUGGUUAUUGAGCUUGCAUGUGAUGGCGGUAAGUUUGUCCUACAUUGCAAUAGCAUUUUCCUAUGCACUCUGCAGGCUGGGAGUGUUGGCACUGUCAAAGCAAGGUUAAAUAUCUGCUCUGUGCAAUUUCUAUCUGAUUGCGCUCGCUCCAUUGCAAUUGGCUCAACAGAUCACAAGAUUACUGCUAUGAUCUUCGCAACAUACAAGCCUCUUAUUGUACCUUAGUGGGACACACAAAAACUGUGAGCUACGUAAAAUAUUUAGACGCAUCAACCAUAGUAUCUGGUUCCGUUGCCAACUCGUUGAAGCUUUGGAACGUCAAACAAGGGUAGUUGACAGUCCACGUCAGACAUUUACAGGGCAUGCAAAUACACAGGUUUGAUGUCCGGUUCAGUCUUUUUUUUUGACUCUUCUCAAGAUAUUGUUCUAAAGGUGGUUAUUAUCACUAUUUUUUGUUUGAUAUAUC